rnacentral:rRNA from 1 species
AUUGAACGCUGGCGGCAGGCCUAACACAUGCAAGUCGAGCGGAUGAAGGGAGCUUGCUCCUGUUUUCAGCGGCGGACGGGUGGGUGAUGCAUAGGAAUCUGCCUGGUAGUGGGGGAUAACGUCCGGACAGGGGACCUAAUACCGCAUCCGUCCUGAGGUCGAACGUGGGGGUUCUUCGGACCUCACGCUAUUAGCUGAGCCUAGGUCGUAUUAGCUAGUUGGUGGGGUAAAGGCCUACCAAGGCGACGAUCCGUAACUGGUCUGAGAGGCUGAUCAGUCACACUGGAACUGAGACACGGUCCAGACUCCUACGGGAGGCAGCAGUGGGGAAUAUUCGACAAUGGGCGAAAGCCUGAUCCAGCAAUGCCGCGUGUGUGAAGAAGGUCUUCGGAUUGUAAAGCUCUUUAAGUUGGGAGGAAGGGCAGUAAGUUAAUACCUGGCUGUUUUGACGUUACCAACAGAAUAAGCACCGGCUAACUUCGUG